GAUGAAGAACGUAGCGAAAUGCGAUAAGUAAUGUGAAUUGCAGAAUUCAGUGAAUCAUCGAAUCUUUGAACGCACAUUGCGCCCCUUGGUAUUCCGAGGGGCAUGCCUGUUCGAGCGUCAUUAUAACCCCUCAAGCUCAGCUUGGUGUUGGGGCCUGCUGCACUGGCAGCCCUUAAAAUCAGUGGCCGCGCCAUCUGGCUCUAAGCGUAGUAAUUCUUCUCGCUAUGGAGUCCUGGUGGAUGCUUGCCAUCAACCCCCAAUUUUUCUAUGGUUGACCUCGGAUCAGGUAGGGAUACCCGCUGAACUUAAGCAUAUCAAUAAGCGGAGGA
rnacentral:misc_RNA from 1 species